AACGGGGUCUUUUUGGGAGCGACUUCGGUCAAACCCGACUAGACCUAGCGGCGAACGGGUGAGUAACACGUGGGUAACCUGUCCGAAAGACCGGGAUAACAGCUCGAAAGGGCUGCUAAUACCGGAUAACCUUUUUAAGUCGCAUGACUUGAAAAGCAAAAGUUGGCAACUUCGCUUUCGGGUGGGCCCGCGCCCCAUUAGCUAGUUGGUAGGGUAACGGCCUACCAAGGCAACGAUGGGUAGCUGGUCUGAGAGGAUGAUCAGCCACACUGGAACUGAGACACGGUCCAGACUCCUACGGGAGGCAGCAGUGGGGAAUAUUGCGCAAUGGGCGAAAGCCUGACGCAGCGACGCCGCGUGAGCGAUGAAGGCCUUCGGGUCGUAAAGCUCUGUCAGAGGGGAAGAAUAAAUGACGGUACCCUCAGAGGAAGCCCCGGCUAACUACGUGCCAGCAGCCGCGGUAAGACGUAGGGGGCAAGCGUUGUCCGGAAUUACUGGGCGUAAAGGGCGUGUAGGCGGCUUGGCAAGUCAGUGGUGAAAGACCUGGGCUCAACCCAGGCAGUGCCAUUGAAACUGCUUUGCUUGAGGGUAGAAGAGGAGUGUGGAAUUCSCGGUGUAGCGGUGAAAUGCGUAGAUAUCGGAAGGAACACCAGUGGAAGG
rnacentral:rRNA from 1 species